CGGGUGCACUGAUCCAGCCGGGCCUUUCCCUCUGUGGAACCCCAUGGCCUUCACUGGCUGUGGCGGGGAAACAGGACUUUUACUUUGAAAAAAUUAGAGUGCUCCAGGCAGGCCUAUGCUCGAAUACAUUAGCAUGGAAUAAUAGAAUAGGACGUGUGGUUCUAUUUUGUUGGUUUCUAGGACCGCCGUAAUGAUUAAUAGGGACAGUCGGGGGCAUCAGUAUUCAAUUGUCAGAGGUGAAAUUCUUGGAUCUAUUGAAGACUAACUACUGCGAAAGCAUUUGCCAAGGAUGUUUUCAUUGAUAAGGAACGAAAGUUAGGGGAUCGAAGACGAUCAGAUACCGUCGUAGUCUUAACUAUAAACUAUGCCGACUAGGGAUCGGACGAUGUUAUUCUUUGACGCGUUCGGCACCUUUCGAGAAAUCAAAGUGCUUGGGCCCCAGGGGGAGUAUGGUCGCAAGGCUGAAACUUAAAGAAAUUGACGGAAGGGCACCACCAGGGGUGGAACCUGCGGCUUAAUUUGACUCAACACGGGGAAACUCACCAGGUCCAGACACAGUGAGGAUUGACAGAUUGAGAGCUCUUUCUUGAUUCUGUGGGUGGUGGUGCAUGGCCGUUCUUAGUUGGUGGAGUGAUUUGUCUGCUUAAUUGCGAUAACGAACGAGACCUUAACCUGCUAAAUAGCCCGUACUGCUUUGGCAGUUCGCCGGCUUCUUAGAGGGACUAUCGG
rnacentral:rRNA from 1 species